UACGGAGGGGGCUAGCGUUGUUCGGAAUUACUGGGCGUAAAGGGCUCGUAGGUGGCCAACUAAGUCAGACGGGAAAUCCCCAGGCUCAACUUGGGAACUGCGUCUGAUACUGGAUGGCUUGAAUUCGGGAGAGGGAUGCAGAAUUCCAGGUGUAGCGGUGAAAUGCGUAGAUAUCUGGAGGAAUACCGGUGGCGAAGGCGGCAUCCUGGACCGAGACUGACGCUGAGGCGCGAAAGCCAGGGGAGCGAACGGG
rnacentral:rRNA from 1 species